rnacentral:rRNA from 1 species
UACGGAGGGGGCUAGCGUUGUUCGGAAUUACUGGGCGUAAAGCGCACGUAGGCGGUGGCGCAUGUCAGAUGUGAAAGCCCUGGGCUUAACCUAGGAAUUGCAUUUGAAACUGCGCCGCUAGAGGCCGGAAGAGGGUAGUGGAAUUCCCAGUGUAGAGGUGAAAUUCGUAGAUAUCGGGAGGAACAUCAGUGGCGAAGGCGGCUUCCUGGCCCAAUACUGACACUCAGGUGCGACAGCGUGGGGAGCAAACAGG